rnacentral:rRNA from 1 species
AACGAACGCUGGCGGCAUGCCUAACACAUGCAAGUCGAACGAACCCUUCGGGGUUAGUGGCGCACGGGUGCGUAACGCGUGGGAAUCUGCCCUUUGCUUCGGAAUAACUCAGGGAAACUUGUGCUAAUACCGGAUGAUGUCUUCGGACCAAAGAUUUAUCGGCAAGGGAUGAGCCCGCGUAGGAUUAGGUAGUUGGUGGGGUAAAGGCCUACCAAGCCGACGAUCCUUAGCUGGUCUGAGAGGAUGGGCAGCCACACUGGGACUGAGACACGGCCCAGACUCCUGCGGGAUGCAGGAGUGGGUGAUAUUGGACAAUCGGCGCAAGCCUGAUCCAGCUAGGCCUCGUGAGUGAUGAAGGCCCUCGAGUCGUAAAGCUCUUUUACCAGGGAUGAUAAUGACGGUACCUGGAGAAUAAGCACCGGCUAACUCCGUG